CAAUGAUUCAAAGAUUAACAAUAAACCUUGGCUACAGGUGGACCUAAAAAGUUCCAUUGCCUUACAGAGAGGGAAAGUCAGGGAAGAAGGCCACAGAAGCCAAGAGAAACAUGUGAGAUGAGGAUCUCAAGAAACCACUGGGUUCCUAGGCCUUACUCCCUGGGUCAUCCAUGCAAAGCUGACCCUGUAUGUCUGAGGGGACUUUCCUCAGUCUUUGGUGCUCGGAAGUUGGUCGGUACCAGGCAGAAGACAACACCAAUUGAGGAGAAUACUGAGCAGGAAGUGUCUGAGCUGCCCCGCAUCUAAUACUGGAGACACCUGUUGGGAAGAAAGCUGGAAUCCAUAGGCCUUUGGUUGCAAGAGGCAGCUGCAGAACAAAAAGGUUCUAACAAGGUGUAAGUGUGGGGCCAUCUUGUGUGCAGUGUAAGAGAUGCCAAUGGGACAAGACGGGACCCAGGAGGAAGAGAUGAAACCUGUGGCUUCUCAGUAGUAUUGAGAGGGUGGUAUGCCCUUCCAGAUCCCUCCAGUAAGACCCAAAUCCCUGCCUUAACAAAGGAACCAUGUUUGAAAGAAAAACUGAUAGGUACUGGAAAGAAGCACUGAAACAACUUCAACAUUUGCCAUGUUUCAAAUGAUGGACAAGAACUAAGCUGUGAUCUUCCAUAAUCUGAUCAAAAGGUAGGAGUGCGUCGAGGAGAGGGUGAAAAAAAGAAUUCCAAAUUCCCGAGCGCUAGACAGCUCCUAUAAAAUUCCCUAACACUGAUACAGCAAUUUGCAGUGUACAAAACAUGAGUCACUAUUUCAUUUAAUUCCUAGCACCCCCCAAAACGAUGGUUAUAUUUCCUCCAUUUUACACAGCAGGAAACUGAGGCCAGGUAGGGCAAAUUGUGUGACUUGCUCAAGGUCACGUGGCUAAAUUCUGCUCCAGGACUCCUCUCGAUGCCUCCAACCCUCCCAGUGGUCGUCCACCUUGAAAGGCUUUACAUCAAUUCCUAAGGGACAAGACUGACCUAGCCGCAACCACCCUCCCUCAAAAACCUAGGGCGGAGCAUCGCCCUCCGCUGCCAGGGAGGGGACCCGAGUGACGAGUGACGCACAGCCACAGACGGGGGUUCCCUGUCCGGCAGGACUCGCCCAGCGGCUGCCGAGUGCCAGUCCUGUGGACUCUAGAGAACAAGGGCCGUACACCUUUCCACGUCCCAAAAGCCUGCUGUCACCCCUCCCAGCCUUAGGUAGUUUUCUAGGGUUUGGGGACUGUCAAAUGAGUCCUUGUGAGGCUAAGGGUGCAGGGUGCCCUCUUCUGUCUGCUGAUCAAGAAGCUCUCUGCCAAGAGUAAUGUCCAAAAGAAGGGGCACCAGGAAGAGAUGUGGACAGGAUGACGGUGGCAGAAGACAGUGAAAACCUCAACUGCAUAACAGAUGACACGCAUUGACUUCGCUGCCACUGCCAUCUCAUCUUCCAGUGGCCCUUCCUGUGUGCAGGACGUAUCUUCUCUCUCCUUCAGAGCACUCCUUUUCUGCUUCUUUUCUGCUUUCUUUUUACCCUAAAAUAAAUGUUAAAUUUCCAUGCUCAUCCAUUGUUCUGUCCAAUUUACUGAACAGUAUAAAAAGAGCUUGGCAAUUACAGCUGGUCACUACACCACCUGGUAACACUUGCAUGAGGAGGAUCAGUAUCUCUUUGUUCUGCCUUAAUACUUCUUUCCGAGCUGAAAUUCCAUAUUUUCUGUGGCACAUCAAAAAAUACUGAGAAAAAUGUGUAUUCUUAUUUGUGCCCAAACUGCUUUCUUCUAAAACAGUGAUGGCGAACCUUUUAGAGCUUUCAAUGAUACCAACAGCCCACUGUGCCCCACAUGCCAUAGGUUCACCACUGCUAAUCUAGAAGCUGCACCUUGAACCUAGCCUCUUCUGAGCCUUGUGGCUCUGCACAUUUUGGCAAUCGCCUGUCAUGCUCACUGUUGCUCUUCAUGCCCCCACCACUGAGGAUAAGACUACAUUUAGAAUGAAAAACAAAGCCUCACAGGUUUCUAACCCCCUGGGGAAGGCGAUCAGACAAAAUUAGGACUUCAGUGAAGUGCCCACAGAGCAGCACAGUUCCCUUGGAAUUCUUGAGUUGUUCAAAAUGAGCCAUGAAAGCCAGAAGUAUUUGAAUGUUGGGAUGUAGGGUACAGGGAAAGGGGAUGUUACUAGAACCUCUGCAGUAAGUCCUAGGCUCCAUGGCAGCACAAGG
rnacentral:lncRNA from 1 species